CAGGCGGGGUCCGCGCGGCGGGCGGCGGGGGACGGGCGGAGUCAAAAAUGUAUUGAAAAAGCAGAGAGAGAAUGCCUCGGUGUGUAAGUGGAGUGAUGAGGACCUGAUCUCUGGGCCGUGUGGGAACACUGGCUGCCAUUUCAUCACAGUCAACCUGGACUCACAGAAUUUCAAGAGCUUGUUGGUUGGGUCAAGAAUGAACCGACGCAUGACGGCAUGCUGAUCCUGGGUUUCUAGUCGUCCUUUUUAACCUGCAAAGAAGCAUUUGCAGACGUUGUCUCAUGGGUACCGCUUGCCAACUUUGGAGG
rnacentral:lncRNA from 1 species